rnacentral:rRNA from 1 species
AACAAACGCUGGCGGCGUGCCUAAUACAUGCAAGUCGAACGGGGAAAGCUUUCGGGUGAGUACUAGUGGCGCACGGGUGAGGAACGCGUGGAUAAUCUGCCUUAGAGUGGGGGAUAACUAGUCGAAAGAUUAGCUAAUACCGCAUAAGACCACGAGAGCUGCGGCUUUUGAGGUCAAAGGUUUUUCGCUCUAAGAUGAGUCCGCGUAAGAUUAGCUAGUUGGUGAGGUAACGGCUCACCAAGGCGACGAUCUUUAACUGGUCUGAGAGGAUGAUCAGUCACACUGGAACUGAGACACGGUCAAGACUCCUACGGGAGGCAGCAGUAGGGAAUAUUGCACAAUGGAGGGAACUCUGAUGCAGCGACGCCGCGUGAGUGAUGAAGGCCUUCGGGUCGUAAAGCUCUGUCGCAGGGGAAUAACACAAUGAAGGUACCCUGUAAGAAAGGAUCGGCUAACUUCGUG